AGAUAGCAAUUGUCUUACUAUUCUUGCUACGGGUUGCACCAUACAAGAAAAUACAACGAGUAACUUUCAUAAACUCGAUACCAAAAUCCGUAGCUGGAAAGAUCUUGAGGAGGGAGCUGGUGAUCAUUUUAAGCCAGGAUCAUAAGCUUUGCAUAGGUUUGGACAAUGGCCUCCCCGAAGGAUGUAUUUGGCUUGUCAGGACCCGGGCAUCUGACCCAUAUUGAUUGUUCUUGGAAGAGUUCGAGUGGCUGUAAGACUACGACCUCAAAUGCAGAGGAGUUGGUUGCAGAUGCUGAUUUUGCUGAUUGUGUAGAAUUGCAGCCAGAGGUUUUUCUAAUUGCACUUCUCUUUUGUUUGUAAUUGCAUAUGCCUAAGUUUACACCAGAUGUGCAGCGUGUAAUGCUUUCCAAAAAUAAAUGAGAAAUGUAAGUCAAUCCAUGGGCACCAAUCACAUGGCCGUUCUCAUGUUUUGCAAAAUGAUUAUACUGAUGCUCAAGCGGAGGAUUAUAGGCCCUUGUAU